rnacentral:rRNA from 1 species
CAGUAGCCGCGGGAAUACGGAGGGUGCAAGCGUUAAUCGGAAUUACUGGGCGUAAAGCGUGCGUAGGCGGUUCGUUAAGUCUGUUGUGAAAGCCCCGGGCUCAACCUGGGAAUGGCAAUGGAUACUGGCGAGCUAGAGUGUGUCAGAGGAUGGUGGAAUUCCCGGUGUAGCGGUGAAAUGCGUAGAGAUCGGGAGGAACAUCAGUGGCGAAGGCGGCCAUCUGGGACAACACUGACGCUGAGGCACGAAAGCGUGGGGAGCAAACAGGAUUAGAUACCCGAGUAGUCCCUGUCUCUUAUAC